UGGAGGGUGGUCACAUGGGACAUGGUAAUGUCCUCACACAUUGCCAUUAUUCAAUAGCGGUCGACUCGCGCUAAACGCCAUUGCUGACAAAUUAAAUAACAUUACUUCAAGACAAUAAUCACCGAUAGACAAAACAAGCAUCAACGCUUGUUGACAAAUAAAAAUAAAAUCAACGAUAACGCUGCUUCAUUCGUUAUUCAGACAAUUCGUUUUGGAUAAAUCAAUUCGGCUCAUACGUUGAAAUCAACUCGGUUUAUGUAGAGCCUAUAGCGAGCAUAUAUAUAUAUAUA
rnacentral:lncRNA from 1 species